GGUGGUUCGGUGGUAGAGCACUUGCCUUGCAUGCAUGAGGCCCUGGGUUCGAUUCCUCAGCACCA
rnacentral:tRNA from 1 species